rnacentral:rRNA from 1 species
GUACACAAAAAUGCACAUACUGUGAGCUCGAUGAGUAGGGCGGGACACGUGGUAUCCUGUCUGAAUAUGGGGGGACCAUCCUCCAAGGCUAAAUACUCCUGACUGACCGAUAGUGAACCAGUACCGUGAGGGAAAGGCGAAAAGAACCCCGGCGAGGGGAGUGAAAAAGAACCUGAAACCGUGUACGUACAAGCAGUGGGAGCACGCUUCGGCGUGUGACUGCGUACCUUUUGUAUAAUGGGUCAGCGACUUAUAUUCUGUAGCAAGGUUAACCGAAUAGGGGAGCCGAAGGGAAACCGAGUCUUAACUGGGCGUUAAGUUGCAGGGUAUAGACCCGAAACCCGGUGAUCUAGCCAUGGGCAGGUUGAAGGUUGGGUAACACUAACUGGAGGACCGAACCGACUAAUGUUGAAAAAUUAGCGGAUGACUUGUGGCUGGGGGUGAAAGGCCAAUCAAACCGGGAGAUAGCUGGUUCUCCCCGAAAGCUAUUUAGGUAGCGCCUCGUGAAUUCAUCUCCGGGGGUAGAGCACUGUUUCGGCAAGGGGGUCAUCCCGACUUACCAACCCGAUGCAAACUGCGAAUACCGGAGAAUGUUAUCACGGGAGACACACGGCGGGUGCUAACGUCCGUCGUGAAGAGGGAAACAACCCAGACCGCCAGCUAAGGUCCCAAAGUCAUGGUUAAGUGGGAAACGAUGUGGGAAGGCCCAGACAGCCAGGAUGUUGGCUUAGAAGCAGCCAUCAUUUAAAGAAAGCGUAAUAGCUCACUGGUCGAGUCGGCCUGCGCGGAAGAUGUAACGGGGCUAAACCAUGCACCGAAGCUGCGGCAGCGACACUAUGUGUUGUUGGGUAGGGGAGCGUUCUGUAAGCCUGUGAAGGUGUACUGUGAGGUAUGCUGGAGGUAUCAGAAGUGCGAAUGCUGACAUAAGUAACGAUAAAGCGGGUGAAAAGCCCGCUCGCCGGAAGACCAAGGGUUCCUGUCCAACGUUAAUCGGGGCAGGGUGAGUCGACCCCUAAGGCGAGGCCGAAAGGCGUAGUCGAUGGGAAACAGGUUAAUAUUCCUGUACUUGGUGUUACUGCGAAGGGGGGACGGAGAAGGCUAUGUUGGCCGGGCGACGGUUGUCCCGGUUUAAGCGUGUAGGCUGGUUUUCCAGGCAAAUCCGGAAAAUCAAGGCUGAGGCGUGAUGACGAGGCACUACGGUGCUGAAGCAACAAAUGCCCUGCUUCCAGGAAAAGCCUCUAAGCAUCAGGUAACAUCAAAUCGUACCCCAAACCGACACAGGUGGUCAGGUAGAGAAUACCAAGGCGCUUGAGAGAACUCGGGUGAAGGAACUAGGCAAAAUGGUGCCGUAACUUCGGGAGAAGGCACGCUGAUAUGUAGGUGAAGCGACUUGCUCGUGGAGCUGAAAUCAGUCGAAGAUACCAGCUGGCUGCAACUGUUUAUUAAAAACACAGCACUGUGCAAACACGAAAGUGGACGUAUACGGUGUGACGCCUGCCCGGUGCCGGAA